AACCCCCUGCUGUGUGCGUGUUAGGUCGUUCAGUUUUUGCCAACACUCGGAUUAAGGGAGCUUUGACUCUGGUAUGAGGCAUGUAGGCCCAUUCACUGGGACACAUUAAUCAUACAGGCGGGCACCCACCUGCUUAGCAGGUCUAAACCAGCGGCUACACGGCAACAGUGGGGUUUUU
rnacentral:other from 1 species